rnacentral:rRNA from 1 species
CUUGCUAAGUUUGAUGGCGACCGGCGCACGGGUGAGUAACACGUAUCCAACCUACCGAUAACUCCGGGAAUAGCCUUUCGAAAGAAAGAUUAAUACCCGAUGGCAUAGUUCUUCCGCAUGGUGGAACUAUUAAAGAAUUUCGGUCAUCGAUGGGGAUGCGUUCCAUUAGGUUGUUGGCGGGGUAACGGCCCACCAAGCCUUCGAUGGAUAGGGGUUCUGAGAGGAAGGUCCCCCACAUUGGAACUGAGACACGGUCCAAACUCCUACGGGAGGCAGCAUG